UAAAGAUAUAAAUUCUUAAAUAAAUAUUUGAAAUGAAUUUAAAUAUAGAUUAAACAAGUCAGGACAUUAAAAUAAUAUAACAACAUUUAUUUAAAUAAAUCACACACAAAUCUCAAAUAGUAUAGAAUUUCAGAGUUUACAUAACCAAAAGAUAUAACAUGAAAUAACAUAAUAUGUUUUAAGAAACAUUUAUUUUAAAUAGAUUCGACGCGCCCAUUCGACUCUCCACGCGCCUCCAUUAUCAAUCACCUGAAACUGUUGAAUAUGGGAUGAGCAUACAGGGUACACUCAGUGUGGGAACAUGCAAUAAUUGUCCAUGUUAAUAAAAUGGUAACACAUAUUGUCAUAACGUAACAUAACUUCCAUACGCACUGUGGCAACUCCAAGGACUUUAAUGUCCCGGACCCUAUAUAUGGAUCCCUGGCGACAAUAUAAUGGUUGCAACCCUGUAACAUGAAAUCGCAUUGUGGCAUACCAAGGACGGUGAAGUCCUGGACCAAUUAUGCUGGCCCCUAGCGAUAAAUAUUUUUACAACACAUACGGUAAACACAUAAUAUUAAAAUAGGAUAAAUAUUAACCACGUGCAUGUACUGAAAUAAAUCCCACACCUGGAACUUGAGUUUUGAAAGCUAACUUGAGUAAUUCAAUCAAAAGUAACGUCCUAGUCGCGCCGUCACCUAGUCAGAUAAAUUCAAAUAAUAAACAUAAAGGCCUAAUUAAAUUUACUAAAAAAUAUAACUUGAAACUUAAGAAUUUAUUUAUAAGCCAUUGAUUUAAUUAAUAAAGUAGAAUAAUAAUAAAAAUACUUAAAGAUCAUUUUCUUUAGGAAAAGUAGCUAAUUUUCUAAUUUAAAACCAAGUUCAGUUACGUAAAUAUAUAAUGCAGUAGAUCAAUCCAUUAACAAAAUAGAACUUAAGUCCAAGACUUAAAAUCCAACAUCAUUUCCCUUUAAUUAAAACAAGGCUAAACUUAAGCCCAUUUAUGCAAAUAGCCCAACACCCAUUCUUCUCCAUUAAAUUUUGCUAUCUCUCUCUAAUUCACUACACACACGCACACCCUCACACACAUACUCACACACCAGCGCACCCUCUCAGUCUCUCCCUCUACCCUUCUCUCCCUCGGUCUUCCCCUUCCGCCACCACCAGGCGGCAACGCCAUCGCCCCGUCGGCCGGCGGUUCUGCCUCCUUUCCCUUCCCCUUCUUCCUAUCUCCUUCUCACCCCUCACUUCUCGCCCUCUUCCUCCUCCCCUGCCCUUGUCCUCACCGCACCAGCCGCACCUGCGCCCCUCUUCUCCGGCGACCCCUGCCGCCACCGUCUCCUGCCCGGCGUCGCCUUCACCGUCUAUUUCUCUCCUGGCCAACAGCAGCACCACCAUCGCCGCCCCUGCGUCGACAGCGGCGCCGCCCAGCCGCCUCCUUCCUCUGUCCGACCAGAACGCCGAGACCUAGCGCCGCUGCCCCUGUCUCCACCUCCGUCGGAUCCGGCGGUAUUGCUGCUCAACCGUUUCCCCUCCCUUCUAUCUCCUGUCUAAAUUCUAAGCUACUAUUUCUCUUUCAAUCUAUUGUAUUUUCUUUUCAGCAAAACAAUGAAUAUUGGGGAUUUGAUUUUUUUAAGAAUUGAGGUGUCUAUAUGCACUUGUGUUUUUGCAUAUGAAAAUGAAAUUAAAUCAUGAAAACUUUGCGGAAAAAUAAAGUUUACCAGUUGAAAUUGUGCAGUUGAAGAAAACCGGAUGGAUUAUAAAAGUUGAGUUUUUGUUGGAUUUGUGAAUUUGAGGAUGAGUUGAUUUGUGAAUUUGAGGAUGAUAAAUGAGGUUUAAAUAGAUUGAAUUUACUUGUUUGAACAUAAACGUGUGAAAGAAAGAAAUCAUUCAAAGUUUUGCUGCUUCAAAGUUUGCUGCUGUGGAAGAAAAUCAAAGUUUGAAAUCAAAGUUUUUCUGCUGUAUUGAUCAUGCUGCUGUAGAAAUCAAAGUUUGCUGCGAAUUGGAGAUGACUAAAUGGGAUGACGGAUUGUGUUUAAAAUGUGUGGCUGAGUAACAGUUAAAAGUGAGUAGAGAUAAAGAUGAAGUGAAAUGCUGAUAAGUUAGUAUGAAUCUCGUACUAAAAACUAAUGGGCUUGUGUUUUUGGUGAUGAAUGGGCUUAAAACAAUAUAUAUAAAAUUUUAGCCCAAAU
rnacentral:lncRNA from 1 species